rnacentral:rRNA from 1 species
UGGGGAAUAUUGCAUAAUGGGCGCAAGCCUGAUGCAGCCAUGCCGCGUGUGUGAAGAAGGCCUUCGGGUUGUAAAGCACUUUCAGCGAGGAGGAAGGUGGUGAGCUUAAUACGCUCAUCAAUUGACGUUACUCGCAGAAGAAGCACCGGCUAACUCCGUGCCAGCAGCCGCGGUAAUACGGAGGGUGCAAGCGUUAAUCGGAAUUACUGGGCGUAAAGCGCACGCAGGCGGUUUGUUAAGUCAGAUGUGAAAUCCCCGGGCUCAACCUGGGAACUGCAUUUGAAACUGGCAAGCUAGAGUCUCGUAGAGGGGGGUAGAAUUCCAGGUGUAGCGGUGAAAUGCGUAGAGAUCUGGAGGAAUACCGGUGGCGAAGGCGGCCCCCUGGACGAAGACUGACGCUCAGGUGCGAAAGCGUGGGGCAGCAAACAGGAUUAGAUACCCUGGUAGUCCACGCUGUAAAACGAUGUCGAUUUUGGAGGUUGUGCCCUUGAGGCGUGGCUUCCGGAGCUAACGCGUUAAAUCGACCGCCUGGGGAGUACGGCCGCAAGGUUAAAACUUAAAUGAAUUGACGGGGUC